GAGUUGUCGGUGUAGCCUUUCGACAAGGCC
rnacentral:sRNA from 1 species